GAGAGCUCAAGCGGGGAAGGGACAGAGGGAGAGAGAGAGGGAGACACAGAAUCCGAAGCAGGCUCCAGGCUCUGAGCUGUCAGCACAGAGCCCGACGCGGGGCUCGAACUCACAAACUGUGAGAUCAUGACCCGAGCGGAAGUCGGACGCUUAGCGGCCUGAGCCACCCAGGGGCCCCAUCACUCUUCCCUCUUCUAGAAUGCAGAUGCCAUCCCCAAGGGACAGCAGCCAUGUUGUGGCCAUAGGAAGGAAAGCCGCUUGGUAAGCAUGGUAGAACAGGAGGGCAGAAGCGGUCUGGUUCCUUCUACAGGCUGCCGCAGCCCUGGUUUGGCCCACCCCUGGCUUCUUGUCAUGUGGGAAAACAACCCAUUACUGUUGGAGCCUCAGUGGCCGGGUUUCCGUCGUAAGUCACUGAGUGUAAUCCUAAUGGAUGCAGAGAAGGAAAGGCAGGAAUCAUUUCAGGAUGGGGGCCCUGUCAACAGAAAUAAGGAACGAGGAGGAAGACUUGGCUUGGAUCAGAGAGUGGUUUUAUUCAAAUUUAUUUGGGGUGUUUUUGGGGUUUGUGAACCGAGGAGUCCAAAAGGCGAUUGCAAAUUAGGGAAUUUGGAAGCAAGGUCAGCAAAUACAGUUAUCUUUGGAGCACGAUGUUGAAAGAAUGGAUAUACUAUUGCUUGGAGCCCGUGGUGUCACAGUGAUGGCCCAUGACGAAAAUGGUAUUUGCCAACUUCUGUUAUUGUUUUCUUUGCCGGGGAGAAUGAGCUCUAGACUGAGGAGAAUAAAAAGCUAUCAGGUCCCAGAUAAGCAGAGCUGAUCAAAGGUUACACUUAGCUGAGUUUGAGGCUCUGGUUUUGGUGGAAUGGUUUUUUAGGGUGCUGAGUCUGUGUGCUUCUGAACAGUGUCAGUAACAUCAAGUCGUAUGCCUGAGGAGACCGGAAAGGGGCAAAUGUAUGUAAUUUUUGUAACGUAGAAGGUGGAGUUUUGCCAACUCCACUUUAAUACGUUUGGUAUAGGAUGAGGACAAAGAUUCAAAAAUCAGUUGCUAAAGGGAAAGUUUUUGAGCAUCAAGGGAAAGGAGUGGCAGACCACGUAGGCAACCAUUUUUUAUAAGAAGCACACAACGUAUGUAGUCUGUGUGGCCUUCGACAAAAUGGGUGACAGGGUCUUUGAGGCUAUCAGUGAAGCGACAAAAGGACAACAAGGCAGGGUCAGUACUGCUGACCACCCCCCCCCCCCCAAUUUAUAACCCACGUCUAAUGUGAUGGUAUUUGGACAAGUGGCCUUUGGAAGGUAACUGGGGAUUAGUGCCCUUAUGAAAGAGACUCCAGAGAGCCUGCUUUCUCUCUCUGCCAUGUGAGGACAAAGCAAGAAGGUGACAUCCACAAACCAGGAAGAAGGCCCUCCCUAGGAAUCAAAUUGGCUAACGCUCUGAUCUUGGACUUCCCAGCAUCUAGAACUGUGAUAAAAUAAAUUUCUGGCUUAGAGCCACCCACUCUAUGGCAUUUUGUUAUAGCAGACUAAGUACGUAGUUCGGUACUCUGACCAAGAGUGCUGCCAAUGGAUCAAUGUCCAUCUAGAAGAAAGUUCUAGUGGCCUGCCCAAGGGCUCCCUGCCAUUCUGUUCAUCAUGAAGGUAUAGGGCUAGGGUAUUGGGUACUUUAACUUAGUGCAUACCAGGGCUGGGCAUAGUACGUGGCACUUAGUAGAUACUCAGUAAAUAUUCUUUUUCUUUUCCUCUCAGUAUGAGUCAACAUUUGAUGCGCCUUCCAAGAAAAAAACAAAAAUGUAAUCUUUGGUGGCAUGAGUGGAUGGACCUCUGGUUCUGGGAUGUUGGAGGUGAUUCACCAUGGUUUAUACUCCCUGCCUGCUGUUCACCUCUGGUUCUGGCAGCCUCAUUCUAACGGGGAAGCAGGAUGAUUGCCAUCACUUGGCUGAUUUGGCAAUUGGUCUCCAAGACUCGUUCUGAAGGAAGGCGAUGGCCACGUCAUGAGAAUAUUCAAGCAACCCUCUGUGGAGGCCCAUGUGAAGAGGCCACUUCUCAGCCAGUGAGUGAGUGUUCUGGGCUAAACUGUGCCCACCCCUGCACACAAACCCAUAUGCUGAAGUCCUAACCCUCAGCACCUCAGACUGUGACUUGAUUUGGAAAUGGGCCUUUACAGUGGCAGUGAGGGUAAAAUGAAGUUAUUAGGGUGGAACUUAUUCCAGUGUGACUGGUGUUCUUACAAAAGGGGGAAAUUUGCACACAGAGAUAUGCAUGGAAGGAAGAUCAUGUGGAAGACAGACAGGGAGAAAAUGCCAUUUAGAAGCCAACGAGAGGGACCUCGAACAGAUCCUUCCUUCAUGGCCCUCAGAAGGAGCCAAGCCUUCUGACACCUUGAUUUUAGACUUCCAGCCUCCAGAACUGAAAAUCUGUACAUUUCUCUCAUUUCAGCCACACAGUCUGUAGCUUCCGCUUUGUUACAGCAGCCUAUUUAUUGGCUACAUUUCCCCCCACCAAAUCCAUGUUGAAGUUCUAACUCCCAGCAACUGAGUGUGAUUGUAUUUAAAAGACAGACUUGAACGAAUUAAUUAAGGUUACGUGAGGUCUUUAGGGUGGGUCGUAAUCUGAUAUUACUAGUGUCCUUAUAAGGAGAUUAGGACACCUUGAGAGGACACAGGGAGAACUCAGCCAUCUGGGAGCCGAGAAGAGAGGCGACGGAAGAAACCAACUCGGCUGACGCCUUCAUCUCUGACUUCCAGCCUCCAGAGCUGUGAAGAAGGCAACCUCCUGUUUCAGACACUUGGUCUGUGCUCCUUCUUUAUAGCAGCCCUAGGAAUCUCAUCUAGUGAGCCACCUUCGAAGUGGACGCUCGGUCCCAGUCCAGCCUUCGGAUGACUGUGACUCAUGAGACACCUGGAGCCAGAACCGUCCAGCUAAGCUCCCCCGAAACUCCUGACCCACACAAAGUGUGAAUUAAUAAAGGUUUGUUCUUGUUUUAAAUCACUAA